rnacentral:rRNA from 1 species
UACGUAGGGUGCAAGCGUUGUCCGGAAUUAUUGGGCGUAAAGAGCUCGUAGGCGGUCUGUCGCGUCGGCUGUGAAAUCCCGGAGCUCAACUCCGGGUCUGCAGUCGAUACGGGCAAACUGGAGUACUGCAGGGGAGACUGGAAUUCCUGGUGUAGCGGUGAAAUGCGCAGAUAUCAGGAGGAACACCGGUGGCGAAGGCGGGUCUCUGGGCAGUAACUGACGCUGAGGCACGAAAGCGUGGGGAGCAAACAGG